UCUGCCUGUCUCUCUAUCUGUCUGUCUCUCUCCUCUACACUCGGUUGUGUCUGGUGGAACAAAAGCGAUAGAGGAUGUACAUUUUGAGAAGCACAGAGAAUAGGCCAUCACGCACAGUAGGAACAAAAGCCGUCAUCUGUGAAAGAACCAAGCAGUCGAGCUGUGGUGGUUGAGUUUCUGGCCACGUUCGCCGCUGCCGCGUGAGAGGAGGGGACGCAAAACAGAUUUCAACCGCCUCUUCCUAUCUCUCUCUCUCUGUCUCUCUCUAUCACGCACACGCACACACACACACACACACACACCAACACACGCUUUCUUUCUCUCUCUCUCUGUCUCUCUCGCUUUCUCUCUAGUCUACGCAGGGUAAAAUACUGUGAGACUCAACAGUGGAACCAUAGGGUAUUACUUCCUUCUCAAUCAAGCACACUAGACACAUUUUUUAGGAACAUUUUAGAGGGCUAGCAGUCAUUGGUGAGAUUGAUCAGGAAUAGAAACAUUAUAUAUAUUUUUACAAUCAUUUCAAUGAUUCUCUGGCAUUGUUUUGGAUUAUCAAAAGAGGCUCAGUUGAAGAAGUACAAGUGCACAUAGUGGAAGGUGCAUCACUGUCAAGUUACAAGAUGGUGGCUGAGGUUACCUGCAUGUCUGAAACAAAAUGGUGGCUGAAGUUACCUGGUUAUCUGAAACAAAAUGGUGGCUGAAGUUACCUGGUUAUCUGAAACAAGAUGGUGGCUGAAGUUACCUAGUUGUCUGAAACAAAACGGUGGCUGAAGUUACCUGGUUGUCUGAAACAAGAUGGUGGCUGAAGUUACCUGGUUGUCUGAAACCAAACAGUGGCUGAAGUUACCUGGGUGUCUGAAACAACAAAUGACUGAUUUUAUCUGGGUGUCUGAAACAAGAUGGUGACUGAUGUUCCCUGGCUGUCUGAAACAAGAUGGUGGCUGGAGUUACCUGGGUGUCUGAAACAAGAUGGUGGCUGAUUUUAUCUGGGUGUCUGAAACAAGAUGGUGGCUGAAGUUACCUGGGUUGUCUGAAACAAGAUGGUGGCUGAAGUUACCUGGGUUGUCUGAAACAAGAUGGUGGCUGAAGUUAACUGGGUGUCUGAGAGACCAGGGACUGGGAGGAGCAGGCUGUAUCAUUUCAAAGAUGAAGGAUAAAAGAAAGUAAGAAAGAAAGAAAGAGGGAGUGGGUGGAUGGAGUGAAGGAUGAAGGCAGGGAGGACGACUGAAGGCCCUAUGUGGAUCUUCAUCCGUUCAAUGCCAUGGGCUCUUGUCCUCGUCUCUCCUGAACUAGUCCAUCGUUCCAUCCCAGGGCCAUUUGGAGCGAGCGAAAGAGGCCGAAAAGGGAGCUUGUGAGUGGGCUGAUGAGGCUGGAAGAAGUCCCUGCUGGUAAUCAGCACCUCUGGAGCUGCCGGCAAGAGAAAUCAAUAUGGAGAAGAGAAUGAGAAGAAGAUAGUGGGGUUGUCUAGGUUAGCCCAUGGCCUAGGGGCCUUGAGACCUCCAGAGGAGAGGCCCCUCUCGACUUCGCUCAGCCCCAGCCAAGGCUUCUCAGACUGGGCCUGCGUCCGUAUCCUUACUGGGUGUGUGUGGUUCUGCCGGAGGGGCCCUCUCAACAAACACCACAUGAUGCACGUUUUCCUAAGUGAUUGAGUCUUUUUUUUUAAGAAUGCUAAAGGGGAAAUCCCUCUAUCUUUCUUCAAAAAAGAUUGACGUCCUCCCCCACCUGAACCCCAGAGCUGCGUGGAUGCUGAUGGGAGGCUCAGAUUCCUGAUUCAGUCUUCAUCUUCAAAUCCAGAUUGCUUAUUCCCCGGGACGCUUUAACAUUUGACAAAGAGACAGUUACAUCUCAUUUCAAAUAAAAUAUAUAUAUAUAUAUAUAUAUAUAUAUAUAUAUACUUUUUUUUACAGUGGUGUGCAUCUUCCAUAGCGGUAUACAAACCAUGGCUGCUGAAAAAGAUUUGUAAAUUGACAUGAUCGAACACAGAAAUUCAAAUUGACCACAACUAACCAAUAAUUUCAUACCUUGAUUACACUAAGAGAAGAUCACAUAAUUUUGUUGGUGAGAAUACUUUGGAACGGAUCUCCUAAAUUAAGCACAUGGUAUGCUCCUAAUAUUUUAGUUUUUUACCAAAAACUGUUGCUGAUCCCUGACUUCAAGUAUCUACCAGGGAAGCCACCAUCAGAAACACUACGGAUGACUGAAACUUCCCUGGGGAACAGAGACCCAGCAGACUCCUAUAAGUCUGAUCAACAUGGGACAGUUCAAAGAAAGAAGGUACUGGACUGGAUUGGACUAACCAAAACCUUGUGAAGCCUUGUGGACCCAUUGGCUCAACUUACAAAACAGACAAAAAUACUGCUAUGACUUCAAGCUGGCUGUGAAGAUCAAUAGAACAUGGAGUAACAUGAAACAUUCAAAACCUGACAAAAUCCCAAUACGAACAUUGCUAGUACAGAACUGAUGUUGAAUUAAUAUGUAUACUCACCUUAGUUGUUCAUAGUUGCUCUGUUGCUCUGAAGCAAAUCUAGUUUGGAAAACAAAUUUACAAUGGUCGCAAAUAAAUUUGGUUUGGUUUGGUAAGCUGAAAAAACAUGUGUGUAUUUAACAUAUGAUAUACUGUAUGCUGCAUCCAGUUAUAUAGACCAACACAUAUAUAAAUAAAAGUGGUUGUUUUU